rnacentral:lncRNA from 1 species
GUAGUUGCAGACUUUGGCGUGAUACCAGGCAGUUCACUUUUCAGGGAGGCAAGAGUGAGUCAGGCCUUUGCGAAAGCCCCUUGUGUGCCCAGAGCAAUGGCGCUGUGUCCCAAUCAACUUUUUGCAGAAGUAGAGGACCCCAACCUGUUUUUGAAAGGAUUUCUUCAGGGGGUCAAUGAGCGGAGUUUCGAGGUGAAGACAAGGAGCAACAAGGAGGACGCUGUAGGAAUGACCUCGGAAACUUCUUCUGGAAGCCCGCCUGAGGAGCAAGGAGAUGGCCCUCUACUUUCGGAAGGCUCCAAUUCAGCGCCCGAAUUGCUGCUGAAUAGCUUGGGAAGAGAGGAACCCGCACCGGACAGCGAUGGUCCUGCUGGUCCACUGCCACGAGUCCCAGCCUUGGUCACGAGCGAAAGACAGCCCCGUGCAGAGGCGGUGCCCGCUAGGGAUACUGGCGAGCCAGCUGCGCCACCGGAUGGCCCGGGCGCCCACACCAACGAGGUUGAAGUGAAAAACCCCGCUACUGACCAAGCCAAGCCCAAGUCAAGACGGAGUUUCCGCUUUUCACCUUACCAACGCAACGCCCUGACGGAAAGUUUCAAAGCCAAUAGAAAUCUUCCAGCCCGUGAAAUGAAAGCUCUGGCGGCUCAGCUGGAGCUCUCCCCUCGCCAAGUCCAAAACUGGUUCCGAAACGAGAGGAGGAAAUACAACAUGUGGUUCGCUCACUUGCUCGAUGAGGAGCAUGGAACUGACCCCGACACAUUGCUGGCCAUGACCACUGAAGUCAUGUCUCUGAGAACUGGGGUCGGUUCCAUGGCCCACCGACUGCGCAAGAAGUAGCAAGAAAAGUCUCGGGCCGAGAAGCACUCCCCUCGUGCUGGACAGCUCCUACUGUUCUCGGAAGCAAAUGGGACCUAGGCCGAAAGCCAGUCGAACUCUGCGAGCCCUAGUGGAUUUUAUUUGGAUAACAAGUAUUUUUAAAAAGAAUUUCGUUUUUAUAGUUCUUGGGAUUGUUUCAGCAGGUGGACUCACAACAUUUUAUACUCAAGAAUUAUUUUAAAUGGAGGAUUUUUUUUUUAAACUAUUGCUUCUUUCAAGGUGGCUAUACAAAAAUUAACAAGAAGCCCUUGUCCUAAUGUUUGCAAGAACAAAAUCCUUGUCCCCUAAUUUCCAUCAUAUGAAAAGAUCCUAGAGAUGGUGCAGGUCUACUUCUCCAUUACCCAAAGGAAGUGUCAGAGAACCAGGUGGAUAUACCAGCUCUUCUAUAUUCUCAGAUGUAACUUGGACUAAAAUUUGUUUUCAAUACAAAUUAAUUAUUCAAACCACUACAUCACAUUAUCUGAAUUUUAUGUGUUGCCUGUAACAUUUGUCUUUUCUCUGAUAAUACUUCUUUCAAUAAAAAAAUACAGAAUUUUGAUGUUAAAAUAGCUGAUUUUGGGCAGCUGUGAUGAAAAUAUCUUUUAUUUGCUGAAAAGGGAAAAGGAAGACUACCUUAAUGAAAUAACUCAUUUACAAAAAAAAAGUGAGCUUGCUAAUAAUACAUAUUUCCUCUUUCCCUCACAUUAUUAAAUGGAAACAUGACAAUAUCCAUGGAUGAGAUCAUAAAGAUGAUUAUUCUUUUUACAGUCGACUAUGACUUUAAAUUCAAAGAUCAGUCACUGUAGCAUGACCUCUAGGCCACAAUAAAUAGAAGAAAGAACAAGAUUCAACAUUAACAGUUACAAGAAAUAUAAAGCUUUGCUCUGAAUAGUCUCAGCUGCUUUCUUGACUACAAAAAAAAAUAAAACUACUUAUGUAUAGAUAGGGAAACACAUGAAAGCAGUGGUUUUUUUUUUUAUUUCUACACUUUUAUAAAAACUUUCUACUGCCUAAUGGGAUGAAAUGAAAUUUGAAAAUUUUAAAGCAAAUUUAAGGAAGGAUAAUGUAGGGAGCUUUCAGAAGUACACAAGUAUCCUUAUAGAAUUAUUGAGGUAUGUACAGCUAUGAUUCUGUCUAAUAUGGAUUACCCAAAGUUUAUUAUCCUUAGCAACCAUAGUUAUCAGAUGCCAACUACUAGAUGUUUUGUGGCUCUCAAAGUUAUUUUUAUCUAUCAUGUUGGUAUUGUUUCCUGGCUGUAUUUGCUUCACUUACUAUCAGUUCAAGAAAUCUUCCCAGGUUUCUCUGAAUCCAACACUUUUAAAAUUUAUUAUUGAGAAUGGUAUUCUAAUGUAUUUAUUUUUCUUGCUUUUUAUUUUUUAACAUUUUUAUUUAUUGUUUUUAACAUUAUUUUUUUUAAAUUUUGAUUUAAAUUUAAAUUUUUAAAAUUUCAUAAUUCUCUCUCUCCUUUUUAUCUUUCUCCCAUCCACAGAGAAGGCAAGCAAUGUGAUAUCAAUUAUAUAUAAAGAUAUUCAAAACAUAUUUCCAUAUUAGCCAUGUUUCAAAAAAGCAAAAAAAUAAAGUGAGAAAUUUUCAUA